UACGUAGGGUGCAAGCGUUGUCCGGAAUUAUUGGGCGUAAAGAGCUCGUAGGCGGUCUGUCGCGUCUGCUGUGAAAACUCGGGGCUUAACCCCGGGCCUGCAGUGGGUACGGGCAGACUAGAGUGCGGUAGGGGAGACUGGAAUUCCUGGUGUAGCGGUGAAAUGCGCAGAUAUCAGGAGGAACACCGGUGGCGAAGGCGGGUCUCUGGGCAACAACUGACGUGAGGAGCGAAAGCGUGGGGAGCGAACAGG
rnacentral:rRNA from 1 species